UGUCAGUGGGAAGAUACAAUCAAGAAUAACUUGGAAUACACACACACCCACUAAGUCAACAUUUUGUUUGUUUGGUAAAGUUUAUUUCCUUCUUAUUGUGCUCAAAUGCAUUAAAUUGAAAACUGCAGUGCUCAUUUAUAAAUACACCAAAUGGAGUUAUUUUAUAAAAAGACCAAGUCUAAUGUGCAUAAAGAAUUGCAACCUGAAAUUAUGAAACAACGCCCUGGACAUGUCUUUGGGAAGAUAACAGGCCCUGCACUUCACCUGCUUCACCUAUGAAUUCACCUUUAUAAUGUAGUGAAAAAAGUCACCUUUCCAAAACAAACAAAACAGGUGCCUUCUAGGAAAACAGACACAGGCAUAGAUGAAGACAGAAGCAAAUCCCGGUCCUUAGUUCACAUUAGGAAAGAAGAGAUAGAUGCUGACAGUGAAAUAAUACUCAGCAAUUAGAAGCAAUUGACUAGUUGUUCACUAAUCAGCAUGGACAGAUUGUGAAAACAUACUGCGGAGUGAAAGAAAAGAAAGUAAGAAGCAACUCCCAGGCUCACUGUACUGAGAGUUGAGAAUAAGAAAGAAUGAAUUUCUGUCACAUUCAGGAAAAAAUAUAAGCGGUGAACUGAGUGGUGCUUAUAAGCCUUUUCCCAUCCCCCAGGCAAUAUGGAGUUUGUACAGCAAGGACUUGGACCAGAAGCGAAGAACUCUGCACAUCAGUCUGAAUCUGGGUGCUUGCUUUAUUGGUUAACAAAGACAGAAGACUUGAUUCUGUAAAGAUCUGUACUCAUGGCUUCUUCCUGUGUUAAUGACAUACAAGGAAUAAGACACUGCCUAAGCCCUCAAGGAACUAUGGCCUACAGCAGAGGAACACUUCCAAAUAAGCCGUUGCAACUAAAUAAGACAAUUGCUGUAAUGACAUGUAUGCCAAGUGCAGUAGAGAGAGAAGAGGCACCUAAAUCUGCCUUAGGGGUGUCAAGUGCAAUGUCACAGAGAAUGCAGCAUUUGAGCUGAGAGUUUAAAAUGUAAGAAGUUGGUUAGAAUCCCAAGAGAGGAGCAUCCCAGGCAGUGCAUAGAGUCCAUAUAUUGGAUGAAAAUAUCGGGGAACAAGGUUUGUCCUGGAAUCCAUACAUAGUUCAAUAAUGUAGGAUUAAACAUAGAAGUUAAUCCUGUUUUAGUCCAUUUUCUGUUGCUAUAGUGGAAUCCCCAAGGCUGGGUAAUUUGUAAACAAAAAGAAAUUUCUCACACUUCUGGAAGCUGGAAGCCCAAUAUUAAGCUGCAGACACCUGCUGAAGGCCUUCUGGCCACAUCGUCAUGGCAGAGGCAGGAGGACAAGAGCGUGAGAGAGCAAGCGUCAAACUCAGCCACAAGCCCAUUAAAACGAGCACGAGUCCAUUUAUGAAAGUGGAAUCUUCAUGGCGUAAACACCUCCCUAAUUUAGGCCACACCUCCAAACACUAUUGCACUGGGGACUAUGUUCCAAACAUGUCUGUUUUAGGGGACAUAUUCAGACCACAGCCGCAAAGGAAGGAGAGAGGAGGACUAUGUGGUUGGAUCAGAAAACAAGACUUAGAUGUUGAAGAGCUAUUUUAUGUCCCAUCAAAGAGUUUACAUUUUUAUCCUGUAGGUGAAUGGAAAUCCACUGACACAUUUUGAG